GGCUCGUUCCUCUAACUGGCCAGGAGACCGGACCCUCAAUCCGGAGAUAGCGGUUCGAGCCCGCUACGAGCUG
rnacentral:tRNA from 2 species